rnacentral:rRNA from 1 species
UACGGAGGAUGCGAGCGUUAUCCGGAUUUAUUGGGUUUAAAGGGUGCGUAGGCGGAUUUUUAAGUCAGCGGUAAAAUGUCCGGGCUCAACCCGGGCCGGCCGUUGAAACUGGGGAUCUUGAGUGGGCGAGAAGUAUGCGGAAUGCGUGGUGUAGCGGUGAAAUGCAUAGACAUCACGCAGAACUCCGAUUGCGAAGGCAGCAUACCGGCGCCCGACUGACGCUGAGGCACGAAAGCGUGGGGAUCGAACAGG